UUAUAUACUAAAAUUAAGAUUGGAGAAUACGAGCUAUAGCUUAAAAACCCAAGAACUUGGCGGUGUCUUAUUCAAUCAGGGGGACCUGUUUAAUAACUCGACAGUCCACGAAUUAUAGUUACCUUAUUUUGAUAUCAGCUUGUGUACUGCCGUCUUAUAAAAACUUAAAGCACAUUAUAAAAAUUUAAAUCAAAUUUACGUCAGGUCAAAGUGCAGCUAAUAUUAAGGAUAAAAUGGGUCACAUAAUAUAUAAUAUAAAAUAAGCCAUAUAUAAUAUAUAACUUAUAUAGGACUUGAUAGUAAUAAUGUUAAUAUAACAAUA
rnacentral:rRNA from 1 species